rnacentral:rRNA from 1 species
GUAACGAGCGCAACCCUUGUCCUUAGUUACCAGCACGUUAUGGUGGGCACUCUAAGGAGACUGCCGGUGGACAAACCGGAGGAAGGUGGGGGAUGACGUCAAGUCAUCAUGGCCCUUACGGCCUGGGCUACACACGUGCUACAAUGGUCGGUACAAAGGGUUGCCAAGCCGCGAGGUGGAGCUAAUCCCAUAAAACCGAUCGUAGUCCGGAUCGCAGUCUGCAACUCGACUGCGUGAAGUCGGAAUCGCUAGUAAUCGUGAAUCAGAAUGUCACGGUGAAUACGUUCCCGGGCCUU